rnacentral:lncRNA from 1 species
GGUGUUUCUAUAUGGUUUAUAACCAUUUUAUUAAAAGUGUUUUGACUUUGUUUGGAAGAUAGCGCACGCGAGAGUAGUGGUGUGUGGUGGACGGAGUGAUAACUUUUGGUUUAAGGAAUAGAAGAAAUCUAAAGAGAUAGUUUUGGGCCUAACUUAAACGAACAUGGCCCCCAUCCUUUUUCAAACAGAUAUUUUUUGUCUAUUCGAUACUUUUCGUCCUCUCCUUUGUGUGGCCAACCAAACUUUGAUAUUUCUUCCUUUGUUUCUUUACAGUCUGUAGGAUCUUUUUCUCUUUUCUUUUUAGGCUACUUGAGAUAUUUUCAAGUCGUGUAUCAUGUGGCUAUUGUCUUGUCCAUUUAUAAA